AGAUAAAGUAGGUUAGAACGACUUUCCAAGUUUGAAGUUGAAGAUGCUGAAAGUGUUGCUUCAUAUGAUUGUAUAACCAUUUGCCAGCUUGUGUCAAUGUUGGAGACCAAGUCCUGCCAUAGAGGAAGUUAACUCACCAUGGUUGUAAGUGGUUGGUGUCUGUCUAAACAAAGAUUGGAAACAAAGGGGGCAAAUACAAAUAGUUCUUCAAAUUACCCUGAAUUUGCCACUGAAUUAAACUGUGUGUCUGCAAAUCA